rnacentral:rRNA from 1 species
UACGUAGGGGGCAAGCGUUGUCCGGAUUUAUUGGGCGUAAAGAGCGUGUAGGCGGUCAGGUAGGUCGGUUGUGAAAACUGGAGGCUCAACCUUCAGAGGUCGACCGAAACCCCCUGGCUAGAGUCCGGGAGAGGAGAGUGGAAUUCCUGGUGUAGCGGUGAAAUGCGCAGAUAUCAGGAAGAACACCCGUGGCGAAAGCGGCUCUCUGGCCUGUUUCUUGACGCUGAGGCGCGAAAGCUAGGGGAGCAAACGGG